rnacentral:rRNA from 1 species
GACGAACGCUGGCGGCGUGCUUAACACAUGCAAGUCGAACGGUGAUGGCCAGCUUGCUGGUCUGAUCAGUGGCGAACGGGUGAGUAACACGUGAGCAACCUGCCCUUGACUCUGGGAUAACCACGGGAAACGGUGGCUAAUACCGGAUAUGAGACGCACAGGCAUCUGUAGCGUCUGGAAAGAUUUAUCGGUCAGGGAUGGGCUCGCGGCCUAUCAGCUUGUUGGUGGGGUAAAGGCCUACCAAGGCGACGACGGGUAGCCGGCCUGAGAGGGCGACCGGCCACACUGGGACUGAGACACGGCCCAGACUCCUACGGGAGGCAGCAGUGGGGAAUAUUGGACAAUGGGCGCAAGCCUGAUCCAGCAACGCCGCGUGAGGGAUGACGGCCUUCGGGUUGUAAACCUCUUUCAGCAGGGACGAAGCGAAAGUGACGGCACCUGCAGAAGAAGGACCGGCCAACUACGUGCCAGCAGCCGCAGUAACAC